AACGAACGCUGGCGGCAUGCCUAACACAUGCAAGUCGAACGAGACCUUCGGGUCUUGUGGCGCCCGGGUGCGUAACGCGUGGGAACCUGCCCUUAGGUUCGGAAUAACUCCCCGAAAGGGGUGCUAAUACCGGAUAAUGUCUUCGGACCAAAGAUUUAUUGCCUUUGGAUGGGCCCGCGUUGGAUUAGCUAGUUGGUAGGGUAAAAGCCUACCAAGGCGACGAUCCAUAGCUGGUCUGAGAGGAUGAUCAGCCACACUGGGACUGAGACACGGCCCAGACUCCUACGGGAGGCAGCAGUGGGGAAUAUUGGACAAUGGGCGGAAGCCUGAUCCAGCAAUGCCGCGUGAGUGAUGAAGGCCUUAGGGUUGUAAAGCUCUUUUACCCGGGAUGAUAAUGACAGUACCGGGAGAAUAAGCUCCGGCUAACUCCGUG
rnacentral:rRNA from 1 species